UGCCAAGUCUCAUUUUCCUCUGUGUCC
rnacentral:piRNA from 1 species